AGCGGCUUGGCGCAGCGGAAGCGUGCUGGGCCCAUAACCCAUAGGUCGGUGGAUCGAAACCGCCAGCUGCUA
rnacentral:tRNA from 1 species